GGGGAAUAUUGGGCAAUGGGGGAAACCCUGACCCAGCAACGCCGCGUGAAGGAAGAAGGCUUUCGGGUUGUAAACUUCUUUUACCAGGGACGAAAAAAAUGACGGUACCUGGAGAAAAAGCUCCGGCUAACUACGUGCCAGCAGCCGCGGUAAUACGUAGGGAGCAAGCGUUGUCCGGAUUUACUGGGUGUAAAGGGCGUGUAGGCGGAGUGAUAAGUUAGAUGUGAAAUCUGGGGGCUCAACCCUCAAACUGCAUUUAAAACUGUCACCCUUGAGUGAUGGAGAGGCAGGCGGAAUUCCUAGUGUAGCGGUGAAAUGCGUAGAUAUUAGGAGGAACACCAGUGGCGAAGGCGGCCUGCUGGACAUUAACUGACGCUGAGGCGCGAAAGCGUGGGGAGCAAAC
rnacentral:rRNA from 1 species